GGUUUUUUAUUUCCCUCUCUUUUAACCUAGUCACUCAUUUAUUCUCUCCAUAUUUCCAUCAUCUGAAGCUUUCCCUCCAUCUUCCUACCUUCCACUCAAUCUUUCCACUUUCCCCUGUUCUUCACUUUUCUCGGUGAGGGAACUUUCCUUUAAAGAGCUAUAAAUUCGCUAUAAUCCAUUUUGGAGAGAUAAAAUCAGAUGAGCAUCAGUCAUGCCAAAGAUUAAACGUUCUAAGAAUCCACUAAAGUCAACUAAUGGACAUGCUUCAUCAUCAACUACUCCAGUGGCACAAGACCUCCCAGUUGCUUCAACAUAUCCUUCACAAGCUGAUGGAGUCCCACAACAAGACAAACUCCAAUUCUCCCGCAGCAAGAACAAGCUCCAAUUGCCCUAAAAAGCUAUCAAGCAUAUUAAUGGAGCGCAUCAUUGUGGACUUUGACGCAUACAACUCAGCAUAUGGUGAUGCACAGGGACUACUCGCUGGAUAUUGUGGAUCAUUGGCAAUUGAUUGUAAUUUGUUCUUGAUUAGUUUUGAGAGAUGGUCAGGGCAAUCAGGGAUGCUUGAGAAGUACAUGGAAGACUGCUUUUAAACAAUAUUGAAGUUACAAGUGUUCUUAACAUAUAUCUAUAUACACUUUUCGGAUGAUUUAAGAAUACAUGAGAAAACUAAUAUAUAUUUUUUAUUUAAAGCCUCGAUUUCUUUUUCGGGUAUGUGAGCCCAUUGCAUACUGCAAUAGUAGUAUUUCAAAAAAGUGGGCUACACAUAGGCAGAGAUUGUAGAAUGAAUAUUUGACCCUGCAAGAAGCAAAAAUGAGAUCACUAGUAAUAUGCCAUCUGGUAUAAAUAAAGAUCAAUGGGCUAGUUUUGUUGCUUACCAUCUGACACCAUCAACAAUGGAGAUUUUCAGAAGAAAUAAGGAAAUCCAGAGGAAGCAAAAAAUUCCACACACUGGUGGUUCAAAGGCUAACUCGAGAAGACGUCAUGAGAUGGCAUGGCAUUUAACUUAAUAGUUCUGAUUUGUGUUUAACUAAACUAGUUUUUGCAUAGUAUCUAUAAUACAUUUCUUUCUUAGUUUCUGGAAACUGGUAAAGUUCAUAGUCGCGGAAAAAUGUUUAUUGAAACUCAUAAGAGAAAGAACGGAUCAUUUGUGAAUGCUAAGGCUCAAACUAUAGGGGUUAGUAUGGAAUCGAUGCAUUAUUUGAAUAUCAAUUUCAUUGUUAUUGGACAAUAUUUUGCAUCUAUUACUAUUUUAUUUUUGCUAUUGAUAUCGAUAUGAUCUUAGGAAAUUGAGUCACAUAGACUCAUUGUAACACUAAUGAGUCUGAAGUUUCCCAAGAAGAUAUUGUUGGUAAGAUAUUUGGGGCAGAAAACUCUGGGAGGGUAAGAUGUAUGGGUAUGGGAGCAGCUCCAUCAAACACAUUCUUGAAUACAAAGCGACGACCUAGCGAGCUGAGCAUUUCUUCAUCUAGCUAUGGUGAACCAUCUGUAACCUAUUCAUAUUUGCAUCAAAAGGUUGCGCAUUUGGAGUCCAAACUUGAAGAAACCUAGAAUGUGUUGAAUAAUUACAUGAUAUCUAAGGAAGGAGGGAUUCCUGAAGAAUUAGCUCCUCAACCACCGCAUGUUGAUACAGAGGAGACAGAACUUGUUCCACCUGUGGAUGUAAGAGGCUCAUCAGCUGAUAACAAUGCAAAUCACCAAUCAAAUGCUUAAUGUUUUCUUUGUGGACAACUUUUAGUGCUUUUCAUGUUUUUGAAUUUGUAAUAGUUGCUAGAGUUGUGUUUACUAUGCUUUAGUUUGACGUUCAGUACUUAAGUUUGUGAGUCUAUUAUGGGUAUUCUAAUGGUAAAUCUUUUUAUGCUUUACAUAGAGAUUGUUCAGUGGAUUAUUCAUGCAUAUGAUUUAAAUUUAAACUUUAGUCGAUAUAUUCUAAUAUCCUAAGGUCUAGUUACAAAUAGGUUCAGAAAGUUUGAUUCUGAUAUGCCAAGAUUCUUACAUAGAAAAACUAAAUUAUUAUUUCUCUGUUCUUACUAGAAAUGCAAAAACACCGCUCAUGAACUAUGUCUGAAUAGAAGUAGCAGCAGGCUAGAAAUAUGACAACAACCUAUGCACUUGAUCUUUCAGCUCGCAGUGCCCUCUUGCAUCAUAAACAACUACUUGCCAACACUAUUCGGAGCUGACUAGCCAAUGACUCAUUAGUGAGUUGGUGCUCUUCAAGUCAACCUGGUUUUGUUGCUGUCGCCGUAACUACUACUACUUCUGUGGAUAAUAACACUAUGCUGUUUUGGAACUCUCCAGCAGCCUUGACGGAUAUUUGCGGGAUGACAAGAAUGGGGAGUUGUAUUAUAGAAGAGUGCGGGCUGUGUCCCACUCCAGUAGGUUAAUGUUUAAUACUAGUUCGGAUAGGCAGGUCGUACAUACAUCAUCUGCUAGUUUGGUUGUUUCUGCAGUGUCACCGCCACAACUUAUGCCCCUAUAAACUUUUUCAUAUAUGCUAUUUACUCCUUUCUAAUAAAAAAAGAAGAAGCUUGUGUUAA